AGCUCUUCUUUGCCUUUUGGCUUAGAUCAAGUGUAGUAUCUGUUCUUUUCAGUUUAAUAUCUGGAAGUCCCCCAAUGGGGGACAAUCAAUAUUAUUCCUAUUUUUGAUCUUUUGGGCAGCGGUCCCUUCGGCUUGCCGUAUACCGCUUCCCACCGUGUCCCUGGUAUCACACUGCCUCCAGGCGACGCAAAAUGCU
rnacentral:snRNA from 1 species